rnacentral:rRNA from 1 species
GAUGAACGCUGGCGGCGUGCCUAAUACAUGCAAGUCGAGCGAACGGACGAGAAGCUUGCUUCUCUGAUGUUAGCGGCGGACGGGUGAGUAACACGUGGAUAACCUACCUAUAAGACUGGGAUAACUUCGGGAAACCGGAGCUAAUACCGGAUGAUAUUUUGAACCGCAUGGUUCAAAAGUGAAAGACGGUCUUGCUGUCACUUAUAGAUGGAUCCGCGCUGCAUUAGCUAGUUGGUAAGGUAACGGCUUACAAAGGCAACGAUGCAUAGCCGACCUGAGAGGGUGAUCCGCCACACUGGCACUGAGACACGGUCCAGACUCCUACGCGAGGCAGCAGUAGGGAAUCUUCCGCAAUGGGCGAAAGCCUGACGGAGCAACGCCGCGUGAGUGAUGAAGGUCUUCGGAUCGUAAAACUCUGUUAUUAGGGAAGAACAUAUGUGUAACUAACUGUGCACAUCUGGACGGUACCUAAUCAGAAAGCCACCGCUAACUACGUG